CUCAGGACGAACGCUGGCGGCGUGCUUAACACAUGCAAGUCGAGCGGAAAGGCCCUUCGGGGUACUCGAGCGGCGAACGGGUGAGUAACACGUGAGCAACCUGCCCUAGGCUUUGGGAUAACCCUCGGAAACGGGGGCUAAUACCGAAUAUUCACUCACGGGCGCAUGUUUGUGGGUGGAAAGUUUUUCGGCUUGGGAUGGGCUCGCGGCCUAUCAGCUUGUUGGUGGGGUAAUGGCCUACCAAGGCGACGACGGGUAGCCGGCCUGAGAGGGCGACCGGCCACACUGGGACUGAGACACGGCCCAGACUCCUACGGGAGGCAGCAGUGGGGAAUAUUGCACAAUGGGCGGAAGCCUGAUGCAGCGACGCCGCGUGAGGGAUGACGGCCUUCGGGUUGUAAACCUCUUUCAGCAGGGACGAAGCG
rnacentral:rRNA from 1 species